rnacentral:misc_RNA from 1 species
AGAACGUUGCCAAGCAACCGAAGAAUCGAUCAUAAACAAACAUUCGAUAAGAAUGAACUAAUUUUAAAAUGUCAAAUAAAUUGUAUCAAUCAUUGUGGAAAGAUGUACAGAAUUCACUUAGAUUUAUUUUAGAUGAUGAUAAACCAGUUUCUCCUGAAAAAGAUUUGCAGAACACAUUUAAUAGAAUAGCUAUUUUAUAUUUGAGAUACAUAAAAAUUGUCAAAAACUUGGAAAAAUGUUACGAUCAAAUUAUUCAACCACAGAAAAUAUUAACAUUCAGAAAGAUAUUAGAGGGAGUGAUUGGACGUAUUUUGGAAUUGAAGGCAGAAUUAGUUAAAAUAGAAAAUCAAGAGUUUCAUUUUAUAAAUAAUCUUCUCUUAGAUAUGAGAAUGAUUCCAAAGGAUUUGGAAUUACCUAUUCCAAAAUGGUAUUUGUUACCGAAAGAAGAAGAGGUUGAAAUAAUUUAUCAAAAAGGUUUCCAGAAAACUUCAAUAAAUAAAAUUAAUAAGGCAAAUAAUGAUAUAAUUGAGUGCUUUGAUGAUGCAGCAGUUUUAAUUCAAAAUCAUGAAAGAUCAAGACAAUGCAGAGCAAAGUAUCUUAAUGUCAGGAUAAAAAAGAAAAAAGACAAUAAAAUGUGUUCAUCUAUGGAAUAUGAGAAUGCAGCAUUUUUAAUUCAAAAAAAUUGGAAAUUAUACAGUACUAGGAAGAAAAAUAAAGUUAACUUAAUUAGAGAAAAAAAAUUGCUUGGAAUGCUAUCUUCAACAAUAUUACCAGCAGACAUAAAAACAACAUAUAAUGGUGAUUUGGAACAGCACAGAGAAUUACAGCAUAAAAUGAAAGCAGAAAACUUAAAACUAUAUGAAAAAUCUCUUGUUGAUAUUAAGAUGCAAAUAAGAUUACAAGAAUCAGAUGACAUGAAAGAAAAAUUAAAAGAUGAUAUCCGAAAAUGGUAUCUUUCAUACAGAAGUAAACAUAGCACUUAUCCCAAUUUUCCAUCUGAAAAAGAAGGUGGUUCAAAUUUGAUUUUUCAUCCUCAAACAGUAGAACAAAAUAAAACUCCAGAAAAUGUUGUUACAUCCCAUUCCAGUUGUGUUCCACUUAUUAUUGAAGGAUGUCUUGAAUACAAAACUCUAUGGGAAAAUCAAAAUGAAAUAAAUAAUGAUCUUCAGUUGUAUGAAAAAGAAAUGAUAAGGCAACAAAAGUUUAUAGAAGUGAAGGAAGAAGUUCGAAUGCAAGUUGAUGAAAUAAUGAGAUUUGAAUUAGAAGUUUUAAAAGUGGCUCUAGCAAAGGAUAAAGGAAUAAAGUUAAAAAAAAGAAAGGGAAAAGUAAGAGGAAAGAAAACUAAAAAGAAGAGAGAUUUGACAGCAGAUAGAUCUUUAGAAUCCUUAUAUAAAGAAUUGUUGGAUAAUGGUAUAAUUAUAAAGAGUGUUCCUACAAGUUUGGAUGAUUAUUUUGGUGAUUACAAUUUUAUUGGCUCAUCAUUGUUAAGUCAAGGAAUUGAACCAGUUUGGCAUUAUUGUGCUGAUAUAAAACAUAUUAUUAUUGCAUAUUGCAUUCUUCCUUUAAGUAAUCCUAAUGUCCAUAAACUUACUCCACUUAUAAAAUCUAUACUUUUUUUUGGUCCUCAUGGUGUUGGAAAGAAAUUCUUAGUUAAUGCAAUAUGUUCAGCAACACAAUCCAUAAUAUUUGAUUUAUCUCCAGAAAAUAUUAUUGGAAAAUAUCCAGGAAAAGCAGGUUCAAAAAUGCUUAUGCAUCUUGUUGAAAAAGUGGGUAAAGCAUUUCAGCCAGCUGUUGUCAUUGUGAAAAAUGCUGAAAAAUCAUUUAUGAGAAAAUUACCAAAAACUGAUAAGUUAUUUGGAAGAAUUUAAUUCUUCAAGCAAAGGGUGAAAUAACUCCACAGCUGCACUUACCAACUCUUUCUAAAAUUUCUGAUGGAUACACAGGAAGUCAAAUAAAAUUAGCUGUUCAAAAGACAUUAAUAUCAAGAAGAAUUGGUGUGCUAAAAGAAGCUCCUUUAUCAGAAAUAGAAUUUAUUGAACCAUUAAGUAAAUAUGUACCUCUUUAUAAUGUUGAAAUUGAAGCUUAUAAGGUAAAAU